rnacentral:rRNA from 1 species
GAUGAAUGCUGGCGGCAUGCCUUACACAUGCAAGUCGAACGGCAGCACGGGGCAACCUGGUGGCGAGUGGCGAACGGGUGAGUAAUGCAUCGGAACGUACCUUUCAGUGGGGGAUAACGUAGCGAAAGUUACGCUAAUACCGCAUAUUCUGUGAGCAGGAAAGCAGGGGAUCGCAAGACCUUGCGCUGAUUGAGCGGCCGAUGUCAGAUUAGCUAGUUGGUGAGGUAAAGGCUCACCAAGGCGACGAUCUGUAGCGGGUCUGAGAGGAUGAUCCGCCACACUGGAACUGAGACACGGUCCAGACUCCUACGGGAGGCAGCAGUGGGGAAUUUUGGACAAUGGGGGCAACCCUGAUCCAGCCAUGCCGCGUGAGUGAAGAAGGCCUUCGGGUUGUAAAGCUCUUUCGGCCGGGAAGAAAUCGCACGGGCUAAUACCCUGUGUGGAUGACGGUACCGGAAUAAGAAGCACCGGCUAACUACGUGCCAGCCGCCGCUGUAA